rnacentral:rRNA from 1 species
UACGUAGGGUGCAAGCGUUGUCCGGCAUUAUUGGGCGUAAAGCGCUCGUAGGCGGUCUGUCACGUCGGCUGUGAAAUCCCGAGGCUCAACCUCGGGUCUGCAGUCGAUACGGGCAAACUAGAGUAUUGCAGGGGAGACUGGAAUUCCUGGUGUAGCGGUGAAAUGCGCAGAUAUCAGGAGGAACACCGGUGGCGAAGGCGGGUCUCUGGGCAAUAACUGACGCUGAGGAGCGAAAGCGUGGGGAGCGAACAGG